rnacentral:ncRNA from 1 species
CGUUCGAGCAGCGUCGUGUCGCGGUCCGGGACUGUCCUCAGUCCCUGGUCGUCUCGGCGCGGUUCCGAGCGGUCGCUCCCUCGCGAGGUGCCGCGGGUCAGCGGCUGACGCCAGCCACCUUCCCGACCCGUCUUGAAACACGGACCAAGGAGUCUAACAUGUGCGCGAGCCGCGGGGCAGUACGAAACCCGUAAGGCGAAAUGAAGGUGAACGCCGGCGCGGUCCGGCGGAGGUUGGAUCCCGUCCCGUCGGGGCGGGCGCACUACCGGCCGAUCUUCUCCGCCCUGUCGGCGAGGUCGAGCGAGAGCGUGCAAGUCGGGACCCGAAAGAUGGUGAACUAUGCCUGAGGAGGUUGAAGCCAGAGGAAACUCUGGUGGAGGACCGUAGCGAUUCUGACGUGCAAAUCGAUCGUCAAAUUUGGGUAUAGGGGCGAAAGACUAAUCGAACCGUCUAGUAGCUGGUUCCCUUCGAAGUUUCCCUCAGGAUAGCUGGCGCUCUGUCGCAGUUUUAUCUGGUAAAGCGAAUGAUUAGAGGUCUUGGGGGCGAAACGCCCUCAACCUAUUCUCAAACUUUAAAUUGGUAAGAAGCCCGACUCGCUCGUUUGGAGCCGGGCAUGGAAUGCGAGUGCCAAGUGGGCCACUCUUGGUAAGCAGGACUGGCGAUGCGGGAUGAACCGAACGCCGGGUUAAGGCGCCCGACGCGACGCUCAUC